rnacentral:tRNA from 1 species
GUACAUAUAAUGGCUAUUACCUCAGCCUUCCAAGCUGAUGUUACGGGUUCGAUUCCCGCUGUACGCU